rnacentral:rRNA from 1 species
UACGGAGGGUGCAAGCGUUGUUCGGAAUCACUGGGCGUAAAGGGCGUGUAGGCGGUCCGCUAAGUCUGAUGUGAAAGCCCGGGGCUCACCCCCGGAAGGGCAUUGGAAACUGGCGGACUCGAGUCUCGGAGAGGAAGGUGGAAUUCCUGGUGUAGCGGUGAAAUGCGUAGAUAUCAGGAGGAAUACCGGUGGCGAAGGCGGCCUUCUGGACGAUGACUGACACUCAGGGACGAAAGCUAGGGGAGCGAAUGGG